rnacentral:rRNA from 1 species
AUUGAACGCUGGCGGCAGGCCUAACACAUGCAAGUCGAGCGGAUGAAGGGAGCUUGCUCCUGGAUUCAGCGGCGGACGGGUGAGUAAUGCCUAGGAAUCUGCCUGGUAGUGGGGGAUAACGUCCGGAAACGGGCGCUAAUACCGCAUACGUCCUGAGGUAGAAAGUGGGGGAUCUUCGGACCUCACGCUAUCAGAUGAGCCUAGGUCGGAUUAGCUAGUUGGUGGGGUAAAGGCCUACCAAGGCGACGAUCCGUAACUGGUCUGAGAGGAUGAUCAGUCACACUGGAACUGAGACACGGUCCAGACUCCUACGGGAGGCAGCAGUGGGGAAUAUUGGACAAUGGGCGAAAGCCUGAUCCAGCCAUGCCGCGUGUGUGAAGAAGGUCUUCGGAUUGUAAAGCACUUUAAGUUGGGAGGAAGGGCAGUAAGUUAAUACCUUGCUGUUUUGACGUUACCAAAAGAAUAAGCACCGGCUAACUUCGUG